ACCUGCGGCCGCCUCGGCGCGCCCGCACACCGGCUCGGAUCGGCGCGAGCGGAGCCCGUUUUGAAUCGUACCCAGUUGUGUCAUGAUUCCACUACAGCCAGAUCUCGACACUGCAUUAAUGACUUCAGAGUGGAUUAUCUCGCAUUGGCAUGUAACAAAUGAUUGUCCAGGCCAUCCAAAUGGGCAAAUGGUUGAUGUUGCAGAGACUUGUUAAAAAAGGGCAAGAUUUAAUUUCAUGUAAAUGGAUUACACCUGGAAAUGGUAUUUCUGAUGCAUAGGUAAAUCCGAAGAGAGCACUUCCUUAUGUUUGCCCCCCUACAGCUCUCCUUCCUCGUGGCCUCAGGGGCAGGGUGGAAAAGGCUCUGCUUUCUCAUUCUGCUUUGGAUGUGGCAUUGGCUGCUACAGCCAUGUCCUUGCAAACAUACGCUGCUUCAAACAAGAAAAAUCUAUUACGUAAAAGAGGGUUGACUGGGGUCCUCAGGAGGAUGGCUUAGUUUAAGUGGUACUCUGAAAACAGAGUUCUCUUUGCAGAACUUCUGCAUGACAAAUUGCCUUCAGUCGGAUGUUCACUGUUGCAUGGUCUGCUGUACUCUAGACUGAACUUCAUUUUCGCAAAUGGCCUGUUACUGUUACAGAAAUAUUUUGUGAACUGAGUGCAGCAACACAUAGCAAGGCCCCAGUUCCACAGCAGUACACAGUUAGACAUAACUUUGUAUAUGCUAGUAGUUUAUGGUCUUUCUUAUUUGUCUAUGGGAGGUAUAGAUUCACUUGAGGGGAGAAGAGUGUCCCCUGCAUUAUCCAUCCCUUUUCACAUCUAACCUUUUGGACUUCUAAAGCAGAAAUUAUUGUAAAAUAAUUUUUAUUUUAUUUUGUUUUGUUUUUAUUUAUCUAUUUUACUGUUUCAAGUAAGUUAAAAAGCAGCUGGAUGUGCUUGAGUCUGAACGUCUGGUGUUAUCUCCAGAAGAGGAUCUUGUACUGAAGAGGUCUCUCCCCUGCUUAGCAUCCUCACAGGAUCUCUGCCUGUUUAAGGAGGGGCAUGGAGCCAGCCACCCCUUAUAAAGUGAUCUCUGUGCCCUGGGAGCCAGGAAAAGUCUGCACGGAGUUUCUAUGCCUUGGCACAACCAUAGCCUUGCAUAGGCAAUGUGGCAGUGGAAGGGUCUGUGUGCAUUGUGUGAGUGAUGUUUGGCUUUGACCAUGCAUGAGUAUUCAAGCCGAGAUAGAUCUGUACAAGAAAAGCAGAAUAAAACAGUGAGUUUCUAUUGCGAAUACACACACCUGUGAGAAAAGCAGCCCUACUGUGCUAAUGAUAACGGGGGGGGCGGGGGGGGGGGGGGGAAGGGGGAGGGAUAUAGCAUCCAGUGAGGGUGCUGAAGCUUGUGGGGAGUGUGAGGUGGCUUUUGUAGUAAUGAGACCUUUCAUCAUCUGCCUGGGAAAUGCAUGAACAUUGCUUUGUUUCUUUGUGUGGCUCUGAGUCUCUUUCAGUUCUUGCUGCAUCUGUUUGAGUUGAACUUCUUCAGCUAUCAAGAGGUCAGGCAGCUGCAGGUGCAAGGUGGCUGAUAAGACAGGUCUCCACAUCUCUGUUUCGUUUCAUGCUAAUGGGUAAACAUCUAUGAAUAUUUGGUGAUGUCCCUU
rnacentral:lncRNA from 7 species